rnacentral:rRNA from 1 species
GAUGAACGCUGGCGGCGUGCCUAAUACAUGCAAGUCGAGCGAACAGACGAGGAGCUUGCUCCUCUGACGUUAGCGGCGGACGGGUGAGUAACACGUGGAUAACCUACCUAUAAGUCUGGGAUAACUUCGGGAAACCGGAGCUAAUACCGGAUAAUAUAUUGAACCGCAUGGUUCAAUAGUGAAAGACGGUUUUGCUGUCACUUAUAGAUGGCUCCGCGCCGCAUUAGCUAGUUGGUACGGUAACGGCUUACCAAGGCAACGAUGCGUAGCCGACCUGAGAGGGUGAUCGGCCACACGGGAACUGAGACACGGUCCAGACUCCUACGGGAGGCAGCAGUAGGGAAUCUUCCGCAAUGGGCGAAAGCCUGACGGAGCAACGCCGCGUGAGAGAUGAAGGUCUUCGGAUCGGAAAACUCUGUUAUGAGGGAAGAACAAAUGUGUAAGUAACUAUGCACGUCUUGACGGUACCUAAUCAGAAAGCCACGGCUAACUACGUG